rnacentral:pre_miRNA from 13 species
CGGUAGUGCAUUGCAUUUGCAGUGUAUGUAGUGCAUUACAUUUGCAGUGUCAAAUAGUG